GCGGUGCUCCAUACCGACCUAGAGGAGCCUGUCCUAUAAUCGAUAACCCACGUUUUACCUCACCACUUCUUGCAACUCAGCCUAUAUACCGCCGUCGCCAGCCUACCUUAUGAAAGAGACAAAGUAGGCACAACAGUUAACAACUAAAACGUCAGGUCAAGGUGUAGCAUAUGAAGCGGAAGAGAUGGGCUACAAUCUCUACAACAGAGUACACGAAUGGCACAAUGAAACCUGUGCCUGAAGGCGGAUUUAGCAGUAAGCUCAACAAGAAACUUCACCUGAACCCCGCUCUGGAGCGCGCACACACCGCCCGUCACCCUCAUCACACUACAGAUUAAUCAAAAAUAUUAAAGCUCGCACAAUACAGAUGAGGAAAGUCGUAACAUGGUAAGCGCACCGGAAGGCGCGCUUGGAAUACCAAACAGUAGCUUAACACAAAGCAUUCAGCUUACAAUUGAAACAUGUUAGUGAAACCCUAACCUUUUUGA
rnacentral:rRNA from 1 species